rnacentral:miRNA from 1 species
AAAUGCCUUUUAAUUGUUUGGC